UGGCAGAGGAGCCGUGAGCACCGAAGUCAGGGAGGCGGCUGGGCGGCUCUCCCUGGCCUCCCGGGGCGGCUGCCUGGCCGCUCGUGGGCACUGCUGCUCUUCAUCUGCACACGUCUUACACACUUUCACAUAUCACGUAUUUUGUAAUUUAAAAAAGCCGACAGCCUCCCCGCAAGGCUUAAGGAAAAACAGACCUCAGAAACAAAAGUAGAUGAGCCAGGAGACUUCAGCUAGGAGGGACGCAUCAACCCAGGAUGACAGUCCAGGUCCUUUCAUGUGUAUGGAAAGACAGUCUGUGGUGACCAGGGGUGACCCCCCCCCCACAAUUGCUGAUUUUCACAUGAACAACUUAUUCAAGUGAGAGGUGCAACGACCACACCUCGUGGCCUCCGCGGAGCACGGAAACGCUCCCAGGGCCUUCCCGGCUCCCUCCAGCCUGGUGACCAGGGUCUGCUGGGCAGAGCCAGAAGCCUUCCUUUCUCCUCUCAGGUCUCAGUUCUCAAGAAUCUUCCCCUGAGAUUGUCCAGCUUAGAGGCCUCAGGAGGAUAACAACCAGAGUUUGCACAAUCUGGCCUUUCGGGUCUCAGUUUACCUGGGUUCAAAGGUGACAGCAACAAAUUCCUACAAAACCGAGGUUAACGUGGUAGAAUAUCUAAGAAGACAAGGCAAAAGGAGGCACUGAGACAAUUUAUUACCUUCACACGCAAACUCCACAUCUGAUUCAAAUUAAGUUCACUCCUCCCUGAAUCAGACUCCCCAGAAGAGAAAAACAAAAUCAACAAAUGCUUCAAAUCCACCCUUCAGAUAUCUAGGAAAAGAACACCCAAGCUGGAGGCAGCGAGUCAGAAAGGCUGGGCUGGGCAGGCUCGAGAUGCCCAUGGGAAACAGGGACGUAGUGAGUGAGGACGGAGGGAGCUGCUGGUGAGCUGAUGUGGAACCGGCAGGUGGAAGAGGAGCCGAGGAGAAAAAUCCACUCUCGCCCCAGUAAGAGGAGAACAGGCCCGCCUUUGACUGUGGAUGGGGCUGGUUUGGUGGAGGACGAAAGACCUCCACUCAACUGAACGACCCAGCGACCGAGCCAGAAUUCCAGACCUACAUGAAAAGGCAUGAGCUCUUAAACAGAUUCUCAGUAAGACCCUAGAUGAGACCAGUGGCAGCGAGGUUUCCGCAGACCAGCAAGGAUACAACAAGUGCCAUGGAAGAGAACUUCUCCAUACGGUGAAUAAUGUCUCCAAGACACGGCCAACCGCAGGGCACGUGAACACCAAAAGAAAGAACCUGUAGUGUACUCCAAAAGUUUCCACCAUUCUCUGAAGACGCACGUCAAAGACAGCAAGGCAACAGAUGUGUUCCUAGGUGCCGACCCACCAGUCACCAACCACCCUGAUACUCAGACCUUCAAAACUGUGGCCUGAAGGAUAUGUACUUCUCAGUGGCAGUGCUAAACUGCCUUUGUCUGUAAACUUUAAAGUCUGACUGUGUCAAUUCUCAGUCCCCCCGAAGGGAUCUAAUCCAGGAUGCUGGAUGGGAUCAUUGCCACCACCUUACAUUUUUGCAAAAUGUAGCUUAAACAUAAUCUUACACUGAAGAUUUUGCAUCACUUUCCCUACUACCAUUCUUUUAAGAACUGUAAGCCAAAAGAAUUUGCACUUUAAUGUGUCAUCAUACAACAUUUCUUAAAAGAACAGUGUUUGUUUCUUACGUUUUAACCUGAAAGGGAGAUAAUAGAAGAUAAUGUAUUUAGAAGAUAAUGUAUUUAAUAACUGGUGGCAAAUAUUCAAUAAGUACUUAAACAUUACUUGAAAAUAGAUGUGUGUGUGUGUGCACAUGUGUGUACGAUCAGAAGACCAAGACAACUAACUUGGUGUAACAUCUAAAAAACUUCUAACAAGAAUUCACUAGCAGUUUAUCGAAUAAUAAAGCAACAAGAAGUCCUAAAAAAAAAAAUAAUUGAUAUAAGCCAGACACAAAAGGCCAAAUAGAUAAGAUUCCACUUCCAUGAAGAAUAUAGAGGAAUCAAA